rnacentral:rRNA from 1 species
UGCGUAGGCGGAAGAUUAAGUCAGUGGUGAAAUCCUGCAGCUCAACUGUAGAACUGUCAUUGAUACUGAUUUUCUUGAAUACAGUAGAGGUAGGCGGAAUAUGUAAUGUAGCGGUGAAAUGCUUAGAUAUUACAUAGAACACCGAUUGCAAAGGCAGCUUACUAUCCUGUGAUUGACGCUGAGGCACGAAAGCGUGGGGAGCGAACAGGAGUAGAUACCCUGGUAGUCA